CCCACGCGGGACACGAUCGCGGGUGGGCCCGGCCCCGCCGAGCCCCCGGUGCUCGCUGCUGCGGGGGGCAGCGGCUCCUUGGAGCCCCCCCGGGCGGGGGGGGCCCGGCCGGUGGCAACCUGCCGGCUGCAGCCCUCCGCCGGCGGGCGGCGAGCGGCGCCUGGAGCCGGUGCCUGCGCUCAGCUGAAAGCUGCGCCUUAGACGGAGGGCUGUUAGUGCCUCAUGAAUAUGCAUUCCUGUCUCAAACUUUUGAGUCUGCCUGAAUUAUAAAACUACUUUGUCGAGAGAGCUUAAUUGGGAAAUCAGCUGCGCAUUGUGCCCCUGUCGGAAUAUGCAAGUGGCUGCAGAUGGAGUCGCCAACUUGGCAUUUACUGGGGGCCAAGUUACGCAGACUACGGCUUUGAAGCAACUUCUUAGAUUUUGUAAUACUCUCGAAUUCUGUCUUGAGAACAUUUUGAGUCAUGCUGAAGCAGCACUGAUAGCAUCAGUAAACACGCACCACGAUCUGCAGCCUGCUUGCUGCUGUGAGCUGAGCAGCGCCGGAAAGCCAAGCGGCGGAGCCGAGAGGUCAGUGCCGGAGCGCUGCCCGAUGCUAACCGGGGCGGGGGCAGCUGCUGGUGCCUGCCCGCUGCACCCCCAGCCCCUGUGUCCGUGCUGGUGUGCCCCAAGGAGCCCAGCAUUUGUUCUUGUGGGGUGCUUAGAGACAUGAUCCAAGCACUUCUCAGUCUUCUCUUGGAUGAGGCUUGUGAGCAGAGCUGUGAAAAGGGCCGUGGUUCAUUCACACGAGACCCUGAGAACCACGAAGUCACCAGCGUGGGGGUGAUCAGGAGCAGGCAGCAGGGUGUGCUCGCGUGUCCCGGUCUGCCCGGGCACCCAGGGCAGCGGUUACACCGACGCCAGGUUUCCAGCUCCAGCACGAAGUCACGGCUGUGCAGAGAGGUGGCACCUCCGCUGGUGUGAUGUUCUUGUAGGACUGGUAGGCAUGUUAAGGAAGAAUAUAAAAUAUAAAUAACCUGAAGGUCAAAGGGAAUCUCCACCAGUCGUGAUGCUUCACACCACUCGGCUACAGCUCAGUUCAUCCAUUACUGAAGACUCCAAGCUCACAUUUACAAUCUGGUCUGAGAAUCCGCAGUGUCUUUUCUAUGCCAGGGCAGGAUUUUCCAAGAUACUGGCCUCAUCCCUCUCACGUUUUCUUGAGCGCCCCCUCAUUUUUCAGCUGCUUGUCUGGAGGGCGGGCACUGCCGAGGACACUGCCGCUGCCCUGGGCAGCCGCUGUCCCUCCUGCUUCAUCCCCAGCCCCCGUCUCGGCACCUCCCUUCAGAGCCUGGCAGUGCUGGGAGUGGAAAUCUCACGUACUGGUGUAAGUGUGCACAUCCUGACUGCAGUGCUUCAACAGUUAAAGGUCCAAGCUCUUAAAUGAGUAAAGAAAAAGGCAUAUUUUUCAGCAGCCAUACUGUUACAUGACUUCAUCUGCAGCCAGCAAAUUAGCGUCUUCCUGCUUGUAUCACUAAUCUGUUCUUAUUUUGGAGCACAACCAUAAAACAUGUUACAUUAGCACCUUUUCCUCCAUAACUCCAGCAUAUGCUUUUGUAGCUGAAUAGGUUUCUAGCUGGUAUAGCUGAAGCUGAAUUCAUUCCAGCUUUGCCUCUUAACGCACUUUCUGCAAAAUCUAGGAUUUUAUACCACUGAUUUCCAUUAAACUGAAUGUU
ensembl:lncRNA